rnacentral:rRNA from 1 species
GAUGAACGCUAGCUACAGGCUUAACACAUGCAAGUCGAGGGACCGGCGCACGGGUGAGUAACACGUAUCCAACCUGCCCUUUACUCGGGGAUAGCCUUUCGAAAGAAAGAUUAAUACCCGAUGUAAAGGAUGGGGAUGCGUUCCAUUAGGUUGUUGGUGAGGUAACGGCCCACCAAGCCUUCGAUGGAUAGGGGUGCUGAGUGGAAGGUCCCCCACAUCUGAACUGAGACCCGGUCCAAUCUGCUACGGGAGGCAGAAGUGAGGAAUAUUGGUCAAUGGGCGUUAGCCUGAACCAGCCAAGUAGCGUGAAGGAGGAAGGCUUAUGGGUCGUAAACUUCUUUUAUAUAAGAAUAUGUAUUAUAUGAAUAAGGAUCGGCUAACUCCGUGCCAGCAGCCGCGGUAAUUC